rnacentral:rRNA from 1 species
GACGAACGCUGGCGGCGUGCUUAACACAUGCAAGUCGAACGAAAGGAGGGAAAGAGCCUGCUCUUUCCGGAAUUGAGUGGCAAACGGGUGAGUAACACGUAAACAACCUGCCUUCAGGAUGGGGACAACAGACGGAAACGACUGCUAAUACCGAAUAAGUUCCAAGAGCCGCAUGGCCCAUGGAAGAAAAGGUGGCCUCUACCUGUAAGCUAUCGCCUGAAGAGGGGUUUGCGUCUGAUUAGCUGGUUGGAGGGGUAACGGCCCACCAAGGCGACGAUCAGUAGCCGGUCUGAGAGGAUGAACGGCCACACUGGAACUGAGACACGGUCCAGACUCCUACGGGAGGCAGCAGUGGGGAAUCUUCCGCAAUGGGCGAAAGCCUGACGGAGCAACGCCGCGUGAGUGAUGACGGCCUUCGGGUUGUAAAACUCUGUGAUCCGGGACGAAAAGGCAGAGUGCGAAGAACAAACUGCAUUGACGGUACCGGAAAAGCAAGCCACGGCUAACUACGUG